rnacentral:rRNA from 1 species
CAUAUCAAUAAGCGGAGGAAAAGAAACCAACAGGGAUUGCCCCAGUAACGGCGAGUGAAGCGGCAACAGCUCAAAUUUGAAAUCUGGCCUUCGGGUCCGAGUUGUAAUUUGGAGAGGAUGCUUUUGGCGCGGCGCCGUCCGAGUUCCUUGGAACAGGACGCCAUAGAGGGUGAGAGCCCCGUACAGGCGGCCGCCUAGCCUUUGUAAAGCUCCUUCGACGAGUCGAGUAGUUUGGGAAUGCUGCUCAAAAUGGGAGGUAAAUUUCUUCUAAAGCUAAAUACCGGCCAGAGACCGAUAGCGCACAAGUAGAGUGAUCGAAAGAUGAAAAGCACUUUGAAAAGAGAG